UACGUAGGGUGCAGGCGUUAAUCGGAAUUACUGGGCGUAAAGCGUGCGCAGGCGGUUUGCUAAGAGAGAUGUGAAAUCCCCGGGCUUAACCUGGGAACUGCGUUUCUAACUGGCAGGCUUGAGUGUGGCAGAGGGGGGUGGAAUUCCACGUGUAGCAGUGAAAUGCGUAGAGAUGUGGAGGAACACCGAUGGCGAAGGCAGCCCCCUGGGCUAACACGUGACGCUCGAUGCACGAAAGCGUGGGGAGCGAAACAGG
rnacentral:rRNA from 1 species